UACCGAGGGGGCAAGCGUUGUUCGGAAUUACUGGGCGUAAAGGGCGCGUAGGCGGCCGCCUAAGUCAGACGUGAAAUCCCUCGGCUUAACCGGGGAACUGCGUCUGAUACUGGAUGGCUAGAGAUUGGGAGAGGGAUGCGGAAUUCCAGGUGUAGCGGUGAAAUGCGUAGAGAUCCGGAGGAACACCAGUGGCGAAGGCGACACGCUGGGCCGUACCUGACACUGAGGCGCGAUAGCAUGGGGAGCAAACAGG
rnacentral:rRNA from 1 species